CGAGUCGGCAGGGCGGUCGCGGCGGGUGAGAGCCCGUCGAGGAAAGUCCGGACUCCGAAGGGCAGGGUGGUUGCUAACGGCAACCCGGGGUGACCCGCGGGACAGUGCCACAGAAAGCAAACCGCCUGGUACAGCCAGGUAAGGGUGAAAGGGUGGUGUAAGAGACCACCAGCACCCCGGGUGACCGGGGUGGCUAGGUAAACCCCACCCGGAGCAAGGCCAAGAGGGAGCCGCAUGGCUCCUGCGCAGGCGUUCGAGGGCGGCCCGUCCGAGCCUGCGGGUAGGCCGCUAGAGCCUGCCGGCGACGGCAGGUCCAGAUGGAUGACCGCCCACCGGCCGCAAGGCCGGGGACAGGAUCCGGCUUACAUGCCGGCUCGUCCG
rnacentral:RNase_P_RNA from 1 species